rnacentral:rRNA from 1 species
UCAUAUUCUAGUAUGAGAAAUUAAUGAUUUAAGUCCUUCUUAAAUGAGGCCAUUUACCCAUAGAGGGUGCCAGGCCCGUAUAACGUUAAUGAUUACUAGAUGAUGUUUCCAAAGAGUCGUGUUGCUUGAUAGUGCAGCACUAAGUGGGUGGUAAACUCCAUCUAAAACUAAAUAUAACCAUGAGACCGAUAGUAAACAAGUACCGUGAGGGAAAGUUGAAAAGAACUCUGAAUAGAGAGUUAAACAGUACGUGAAACUGCUUAGAGGUUAAGCCCGAUGAACCUGAAUAUCCGUUAUGGAAAAUUCAUCAUUAAAAUUGUAAUAUUUAAAUAAUAUUAUUAAGAAUAAUGUGCAUUUUUUCCAUAUAAGGACAUUGUAAUCUAUUAGCAUAUCCCAAAUUUAUCAUAAAAUAUAACUUAUAGUUUAUUCCAAUUAAAUUGCUUGCAUUUUAACACAGAAUAAAUGUUAUUAAUUUGAUAAAGUGCUGAUAGAUUUAUAUUAUUACAGAGCGUUAAUUUUUCGGAAUUAUAUAAUGGCAUAAUUAUCAUUGAUUUUUGUGUUUAUUAUAUGCUCUUGUAUGAUUAACAAUGCGAAAGAUUCAGGAUACCUUCGGGACCCG